rnacentral:misc_RNA from 1 species
UAACAAAUAAGAUCCAAAUGAUACAUGAUGUGUAAAACAGGAGAAUCAAUGUCAUCAAUGGCGUAAUUGGUCUUCAAUUUGAAUUCUUCAUUGCUUAAGGAAUGCAUGACUGUUGGCCGAGCUACGAACGGAUGGUUUAAUUUAAUGUAAUGUAAUUUCCAUAGGGCCAACAAAAGUUUGUCAACUAUGGAGGGCGCGUGG